rnacentral:rRNA from 1 species
UGGGGAAUCUUGCACAAUGGGGGCAACCCUGAUGCAGCGACGCCGCGUGAGCGUUGAAGCCCUUCGGGGCGUAAAGCUCUUUCGACCGGAACGAUAAUGACGGUACCGGGAGAAGAAGCUGCGGCUAACUACGUGCCAGCAGCCGCGGUAAUACGUAGGCAGCAAGCGUUGUUCGGAGUUACUGGGCGUAAAGGGCGCGUAGGCGGCGCGGUAAGUCACUUGUGAAAUCUCUGAGCUUAACUCAGAACGGCCAAGUGAUACUGCUGUGCUAGAGUGCGGAAGAGGCAACCGGAAUUCUUGGUGUAGCGGUGAAAUGCGUAGAUAUCAAGAGGAACACCUGAGGCGAAGGCGGGUUGCUGGGCCGACACUGACGCUGAUGCGCGAAAGCCAGGGGAGCAAACG